GCAGGGAGUGCUGGACAGUCAUCAGAUGGGGAGGUUGGCUGUGGAGGUCAUGAGUUACAUUUUUGAACAUUGACUCCAUGAAAUGACCGAUCAUCCCCAUGUAGCAGAUGAGGAAGAGGAGGCCCAGAGACAACAUAGCGUCCAAGCUCCUACCCACUGUGUCACACUGCCCCCUGCUGAGCGCCUACUAAGUGCCAGGCUCUAGAAAAGAGUGGUGUUUGGGACAUUCCAAGGAGCUUCUGUUCGUGUCACAUUUGGAGACUGAGCUACAGAGAUGUUAAGAAACUGUCUUUACAUAACACAACUAUUAAGAAGAAGAAAGAAGAGGAGGAG